CCCAAUAGCUGUGGGGAGGUGGGAGGCUUUAACACGGCCAUAAUUUGGUUUGAUUAGUUAUUGGUUAGUUGUGGAAACUAGCCAACUCACUCUGCAAUUGAAGCCAGCUUCAAAUCAAAUCUGACUUGCUUCUAUAAAGAUUGCCUUUCCACUGCUUAAUUGAUUCUUGAAGCAAAUGCUUUUGGAACUAAAAACAACAAUAAAAACAACAAAUAGUUUCCAA